rnacentral:rRNA from 1 species
GAUGAACGCUAGCUACAGGCUUAACACAUGCAAGUCGAGGGGUAGCAGGGUAGCAAUACCGCUGACGACCGGCGCACGGGUGAGUAACACGUAUCCAACCUUCCCAUAACUCGGGGAUAGCCUUUCGAAAGAAAGAUUAAUACCCGAUAGUACUUUUUCAAGGCAUCUUGAGAAAGUUAAAGAUUUAUUGGUUAUGGAUGGGGAUGCGUUCCAUUAGAUAGUUGGUGAGGUAACGGCUCACCAAGUCUUCGAUGGAUAGGGGUUCUGAGAGGAAGGUCCCCCACAUAGGUACUGAGACACGGACCAAACUCCUACGGGAGGCAGCAGUGAGGAAUAUUGGUCAAUGGGCGAGAGCCUGAACCAGCCAAGUAGCGUGAAGGAUGAAGGUCCUAUGGAUUGUAAACUUCUUUUAUAGUAGAAUAAAGUGAUCCACGUGUGGAUUUUUGUAUGUAUACUAUGAAUAAGGAUCGGCUAACUCCGUGCCAGCAGCCGCAGUAACAC